UACGUAGGGUGCGAGCGUUGUCCGGAAUUAUUGGGCGUAAAGAGCUUGUAGGCGUUCUGUCGCGUCUGCUGUGAAAAUCCGGGGCUCAACCCCGGACUUGCAGUGGGUACGGGCAGACUAGAGUGUGGUAGGGGAGACUGGAAUUCCUGGUGUAGCGGUGAAAUGCGCAGAUAUUAGGAGGAACACCGAUGGCGAAGGCAGGUCUCUGGGCCACUACUGACGCUGAGAAGCGAAAGCAUGGGGAGCGAACAGG
rnacentral:rRNA from 1 species